rnacentral:lncRNA from 1 species
CCGAGCGACGGAUGUGGAAGGAACACCACCGGAGUUCGAACUAGUGAACUAGUCCAGAUGGAUCGCUUGGGCCCACUCAUCACUGCCCAUGCUCUGCCACGUUGAGCUACUCGCCCCAUGAUGAUAGGAAGGCUGGUCCUAACCAGGAGCAUAUCUGGGUGUAACCCCAGGUAACUACCCAGCAAAGCCCAUCCUGCCGGCACUGUAGGCAUGGG